GAUGGGAUAGCUCAAUUGGUUGAGAGAGCAUUGGCUUUCUAUGCCAAAGAUUUUGGUUCAAAUCCAGAGCCCAUCA